UACGGGGGGGGCGAGCGUUGUUCGGAUUUACUGGGCGUAAAGAGCGUGUAGGCGGCCAAGCAGGUCCGUUGUGAAAACUGGAGGCUUAACCUCCAGACGUCGACGGAAACCGCGUGGCUAGAGUCCGGAAGAGGAGAGUGGAAUUCCUGGUGUAGCGGUGAAAUGCGCAGAUAUCAGGAAGAACACCAAUGGCGAAGGCAGCUCUCUGGGACGGUACUGACGCUGAGACGCGAAAGCGUGGGGAGCGAACAGG
rnacentral:rRNA from 1 species